rnacentral:rRNA from 1 species
GAUGAACGCUGGCGGCGUGCCUAAUACAUGCAAGUCGAGCGAACAGACGAGGAGCUUGCUCCUCUGACGUUAGCGGCGGACGGGUGAGUAACACGUGGAUAACCUACCUAUAAGACUGGGAUAACUUCGGGAAACCGGAGCUAAUACCGUAUAAUAUAUUGAACCGCAUGGUUCAAUAGUGAAAGACGGUUUUGCUGUCACUUAUAGAUGGAUCCGCGCCGCAUUAGCUAGUUGGUAAGGUAACGGCUUACCAAGGCAACGAUGCGUAGCCGACCUGAGAGGGUGAUCGGCCACACUGGAACUGACACACGGUCCAGACUCCUACGGGAGGCAGCAGUCGGGAAUCUUCCGCAAUGGGCGAAAGCCUGACGGAGCAACGCCGCGUGAGUGAUGAAGGUCUUCGGAUCGUAAAGCUCUGUUAUUAGGGAAGAACAAAUGUGUAAGUAACUAUGCACGUAUUGACGGUACCUAAUCAGAAAGCCACGGCUAACUACGUG